CUGCAUAGCUGGUAAAUUUCCUACCUCUUGGUAGAGGUAAUCCCUUAUGUGAAGGCAGAAGCACAGAGGAAGCUUCAACCAAUUUGGACAGCAGAAUUCUCAAGGUCCUCAAAGUGGGAGUCAAGCAGGAUGUCAAAUUUAUUACAGAAGUCCAACGUUUAAUGAGAUAACUGACCUAAGCGGAGAUCCAGAGCCAUGAAAAGAUGAAGUGCAGCCAAGGCUUUUGAAGGAGGAUAGGAAUGGAGUGAUUACUCUACUCUGAGACAGGUUUCCAUAUUCUCUAUUUGUAUUUCAGAAUAGCCCUUAAUGUUCUGUUGAGCAGAGAUUUCUGCUCUCUGUUUAGAAGCUGUAGUAGUGCUGUAAUACUUAUCUGCGAUGAAGAUUACCUAGAGAGCUCUGACUGGAGAAAGCCUUGUGUGGCCUCUUCAUACCUUGUCCAAGGAACGCUGAAGAGUAAAUCACUAAGCGAUGUUGAGAUUCUUUUCUUCACACAGCAAAACCCAUUGCAGUUUUUCAAAAAUCUAUUUCUGUCUGCCUGUUUUUUCCUAUCCUCCCCACUUUCCACAAUGUCACUUUUAGUUUAGUGAAGUCUUCCAUGUAAGCUUUUUAUGUGUCAGAUUAGGUUAUGUCCGAGGACAUAAUGCAACUUGACCCAGUCAAACAUUUGAGAAAAUUUUGAUUUUUGUAGUUUUACUUAGGCAAUUCUCAUAUGUUUGUUGCUGCUUGCAUGACAUCUCUAGUUUUUGAUAUGUCAUGUAACUGUACUCUGUUGCAUGUACAAUUGACCUAAUUACGUUCCCACUUGUAGGGAAGAAAAAGGAAGUUCAAAUGACUCCUGGCAUGCAUGUUUUAUAAAUGAAAAAAGCUUUGUUUGUUUGUUUACUAAUUGGCUUGCAGGUCUUGUUAAGAGUUGAGGAGUAAAUGGCUCUUGGGACCAACAGCGACAACAGGUAAAGUAUUAAAACAAGAUAAGAAAUUACGUCAAAAAUAUAGUUGAUAUCAUUAACAUUAACUCAAAGGGCAUAUUUUUGUUAUAAAAAUAUUCCUCUCUGUGUUGUUCCAUUUAAUUUAAAUUUAAAGAGGCUGUAAAGCAGAUUAAAUAUAUCCCUCAAUAGAGAAAAAGGCAGUUUUAAUUGAAUAUAAUUUUCCAGCUCUCUUGUCUCUGGGUUAUUUUGUUUGUUGGUCAUCAAAUAUACAAUUUAAUAAAUGUUUUCUUCAACCACUUUACAUUUCUCUUUCAAAAUUUAAAUGUACUCAUAAAUUUUAUAGUAGACUGUGGAAACAUAUUUAAGUCUGUAAUGAGUUUUGUCAAAAUAUGC